rnacentral:lncRNA from 1 species
AAAUAAAAAGGUUUAUAUAUUCCUAAAAUUUUUUAAUUUUUUAAUUUAUUUUUUAAAAAUAUUAAUAUUAAAAAAAAUUAUGUUUCAAUCUAUUUUAAAUAUAUUUCGAUUUUAUUAAUAAAUUAUUAAUAAUAAAUAUUAUCUCUAUAAAAUUAUAAUUUUGCCUAUUCAAAUAUACUCUUUUAUUACUACCUAAUUUUUUUAUUUAUUCUUAAAUUAGGAGAACAAAAAAUAUUUUAAUUUUUUAUCUUUUUAAAUAUAUUCUUCUAUCAUUACUAAUAUUUUUUAUUUGUCUUUAAAUUAAGAAAAAAAGAGAUAUUUUGAUUUUUUAAAAUUCUGGUAGAUAUUUAACUCAAGUUUAUUUCAAGUUAACUUAAUGGGUAAUAACUGCAGCAGUAUUUUAGAAUAAUUGAAAAACAUAUAACAACUAAAAAAAUAUAUUAAAAAAAUAAAAAAUUUAAAAAUUUAAAAAUUUUGAGAAGUAUAGAGGC